UUAGUUCUUUGUCUCUCUGCUAUGAUAGAUCCAUGUGUAUCAGCUCUCUCACCCCCUAUUCAUUUUUGGUGUUCUUUUUCCAUCUUUAACGUAAUUCAGAGAUCUAAAUUGUAUUCAGCGACCACUGAGGAAGGCGUGCAGUACGCCGAAAGCUAU